GACGAACGCUGGCGGCGUGCUUAACACAUGCAAGUCGAACGAUGAAGCUGGAGCUUGCUCCGGUGGAUUAGUGGCGAACGGGUGAGUAACACGUGAGCAAUCUGCCCUUGACUCUGGGAUAACUGCGGGAAACUGUAGCUAAUACCGGAUACGAGGCUCGAAGGCAUCUUCGGGUCUGGAAAGAAUUUCGGUCAAGGAUGAGCUCGCGGCCUAUCAGCUUGUUGGUGAGGUAAUGGCUCACCAAGGCGACGACGGGUAGCCGGCCUGCGAGGGGGACCGGCCACCAUGGGACUGAGACACGGCCCAGACUCCUACGGGAGGCAGCAGUGGGGAAUAUUGCACAAUGGGCGAAAGCCUGAUGCAGCAACGCCGCGUGAGGGAUGAAGGCCUUCGGGUUGUAAACCUCUUUUAGCAGGGAAGAAGCGAAAGUGACGGUACCUGCAGAAAAAGCACCGGCUAACUACGUGCCAGCCGCCGCGGUAA
rnacentral:rRNA from 1 species